ACACUUGCCUGCGCACCAGACACGGUGGCCGAUUUCUCCACCGUGGAGGCUGCUCUUGGGGUUCCCCUUACCUCGCGCCUCAAGGAAGUUGUAUGGUGGUGGGUCAGAACUGAUUUUCCUUCUUGUAAAAUUUAAGAGCUCCAGUCCCAGCCAAAGUCGUUCAGAUAGCAUGAUAGUCAGGGCAUGGUGAGCGUCAGAGAGACUUUGGGCCACCAUUCGGGCGUCCUCAGGGGCUUCACAUCAUUGCAGGCCCGGCCUCAUAGGAAUCCUUUGGUUGCAAAGCACUUUCAUGUCCCUUCUUUUGCGGUCCGUGCGUACAGCCAAGAGGAGACUUCGGGCUAGGGAGUCCACAGCGCUCCCGGCUGCUCUUGCGGGUGAACGUGGGUGCGGGAGGAACCUGGUAGAUAAUGGACGCUUAGGAAAGCUGGAAUGGCCGCCAUCUAGACGAGAAGGGCAACACUGGGUCAGCUGCUCGUCGUGGCGUCCCGGUAGCUCGCCGUGAUCGUAUAGUGGUUAGUACUCUGCGUUGUGGCCGCAGCAACCUCGGUUCGAAUCCGAGUCACGGCAUUGUGGAAACAAUGGUACGGCAAGGGCCUCUUUUUAGACUUAGAAAGCCACACAUUCUUCUGGGAAGCUAACUCUAAAAGCUGUUACCUGGCCAGGGCUGAAAUUAUAACGGACAAUGAAGUGUGCACAAAAAGUUCGGUGCACACUCUGGGGCUUUCCUUUCUCAUCUGCUAGUGAAUCAGUCACCCCCACCUUCCCCAAUAUGUGAUUAUUUUAUUUUUGUGUAGUUUCUGUGUGGUACUCUUUAUUUUACCCUUGUGAAUGACCGAAUCAUAUAUUGGAUCCUCUAAAAACCUUCACACUAGCUAAAACAUCAAUACUUUGGGACAAAGGGGUGAUAGGAACAAUGUGCAAACAUUAAUUAAGGGUUAGAAGAAUGCAGAUUAGACCAUACGCUGAACCGUUUUGCUUCAGAUCCCGUGACAAGUGAAAUAUAUGACUGCACUAGAGGUGCUGGUUCCA
rnacentral:lncRNA from 1 species